CUCGAUGAGUGUUGAUGAGAGAUUGUUCAUGAAACCGUCAUAGCAACCACAACUAGCUUUUUUAUAUUGCAUUCACCACUUCUCAUAUCUUAUGUGUUUUUGGAUGUUUUAUUUUUCGUGUUUUGAGAUGAAAUAUAUUCCGCAAUGCUUUCUACAAUUUGCAAAAACAUCUUAGUAAGUUGUUUAAAACAUGUUUACAUAAUUACAUCUUAUAUGAUGCUAAUGUGUACACCAACGUCACAUUGUACAUGUGUACAUUAACCUAACAAUAUACGUGUACAACAUACAUAAAACGCUCUCAGCCUCAUAUGAUUUCCAAAAAGUCAACAAUCUUUUUUGAGUCAUCCUGCUGUGUGUACUUCUGCAUAUAAUUACUGAAAUCCGUAGCUUUUAUUCCUUAUUGUUGCUAGUUUCCAUCCAGUUGUUAGGUAGAUGUUAGGUAGCUGUUGAGGAGCAUUACAUCACAUCCACGAGGACAAGAUCUGCUAUGAUUUGUUCGAAAAAUAGAUUGUUGAUUUUUCUUAUUUUUAAUAGCCUUGACGUUGCAUAUAUAAGAAAAGUUGAUGUAACUGAGAAACCUUGAGAACAAUAAAUUUGCAAAUUUCAUUAUUUUCUCCACUUCCUUUUAGUUUUUUUUCUGUAUCUGCCUUCACUCUCUUGGGAUAUAUAUAAAAAAAACAUAAAAAUAUCUGAGAGAAUAGGUUUAGAGUUUAUAGGGUCAGAUCGUUUUUGUGGGUUUGGUCCUGAAGAGCAAGAUGCGUUUGAAUGUGUGAUAUAGUAUCUGCAUAAUGACUGAGCCAAACCCGAUGUGGGACAAAUAGAGCGCAAGUUCUGACCCUUUACCCCUCCUGAAAUUAGUCCAGACGUUUCUUACACGUUAUGUCUCACUGAUUUUUGUUUGCAAGGGGAUCUUGGGCAUGAUUUUGACUCAAAAAUAAACUUAACACGUUAUACGAAUAGCCCACCAAAGGGCAAGCGGGUUUGUUUGUUGGAGGUCUCUCUCAAGGUGAUCAAUUAUUGAUGAAAGAAGCUAAACAUAUCUGAGGUCUUUCUUUGGAUAAACAAGAAAAUAGAUCGUGUCCAAAGAAUGAUUUAUGUUUUGUUGAUCUUGUUCUGGUUUGGUUUUGAACAGCUUAGUGUUGCUCUGUAAUGGAUGCAUAACCACUAGAUACGUCAGGAGAUUAUAAGGAACCGUUAUUUUGCCUCGUGAUAGCGAUGUUCCUUCGAAUCUUCUGACAUAUCUACUGCUUAUGCCACCAUUACAGAACAGCAACAAGCUGUUCAGAACCAAACCCAGAACAAGCACAACGGAACAUAAAAUCUGAUCAUCAGACACACGACCGUUGGGAAAUUCUUUUGUACAACUUGAAUCUGGAAAUCGAAGAAUCAUGUUUAUUGGAAAAAAAUAUAAUUUCUUUUCGUAUUACAAUUCUUUAGCACAAUUUAUAUGGAUAAAGAAGUGCAUAGAGCUGGCUUCUUUCUCGGCUCAGAUAAAUGGGGAGUUAGCGGGUUACUUCAACAGCAAGAGAGGCUUGCGUCAAGGGUGCUCGCUCUUGCCCUAUCUUUAUGUGAUCUGUAUGCAAGUUCUGACCAAGCUCUUGGAUAAAGCGGCUCUUGAAAACCGCAUAGGUUAUCACCCCUACUGCAAGGAGUUAUCCAUCACACACCUCUGUUUUGCCGACGACGUCUUAGUCUUUUCAGAUGGAAAGAAGAGCUCUAUAGAAGGUGUGUUGACAGUUUUUAAGGAGUUUCCUAUGAUGUCCGGUCUGAGUAUUAGCCUCGAGAAAUCUACCCUGUUCCUGGCUGGUGUGAAGGAGGAUGCUGCUGUGAAAAUUUUGGAUCAGUUCCCUUUUGAAGCGGGUUCUCUACCUGUAAGAUACUUGGGGUUACCGCUGCUGUCAAAGAAGAUGUCAAUCACAGACUAUGCUCCUCUGAUCUCGCAAAUCAUAAACAAGAUAUCUCCUGGACAGCGCGGCAUUUUUCAUUUGCGGGUCGACUGCAGUUAAUUGGUUAUGUGAUGUAUAGUGUGACAAACUUUUGGAUGUCAGCUUUUCGGCUUCCUAAGCAAUGCAUUUGAGAGAUUAACAGCUUAUGUUCGGCUUUUCUUUGGUCGGGACCGGUGAUGUCUACCCAGAAGGCAAAGAUUGCAUGGUCUGAUGUCUAUAAACCGAAGGAGGAAGGCGGUUUAGGUCUGCGGGAUCUGGAGGAAGUUAACAAAGUCUCUUGUUUGAAGUUAAUAUGGCGCAUUCUCUCAGCAAGAUCUUCGCUGUGGGUUCAAUGGAUUCACAGAUAUCUGAUCAGGAAAAGCUCUUUUUGGAAUGUGAAGGAAACAAGUUCCAUGGGCUCCUGGAUGUGGAAGAAAGUCCUGAAGCUCAGACCUUUGGCCCUGCAGCUCACAAAAAUGGAAGUAAACAGCGGAGCUUGAACAUCAUUCUGGCUUGAUAAAUGGUCGCAGCUGGGAGUCCUGUUAAAUCUUACAGGAGAAACUGGCUGUAUCAAACUUGGCAUUCCGAUCAACGCGACGGUGGAGAGAGUAGUAAACACCUAUCGCAGGCGUCGGCAUAGAAGCCAUGUCUUACUUCAGAUAGAGAAUGAGAUUAUAUCUCUUCAGGAACGCUGGCUUGGACAGCAAGAUGAUAGAUGUCUUUGGAUGAGGGAGAAUGGAGAUUUCAGAACGGGUUUCACGACAUCUCAAACUUGGAAUCUAACAAGAGCACACGGGCCCCGUGUUCUUUGGUCCAAGGGGAUAUGGUUCAAGGAGGCUACUCCCAAAUUUUCCUUUCUGACUUGGGAUGCGGUUCACAACAGGUUAUCGACGGGAGAUCGGUUGCUUAAGUGGAACCCUCAAGCAAUAUCAACUUUCUGGCUCUGCAACGCAACUACUGAAACGCGAGAUCAUUUGUUUUUCGAGUGUGUUUUCUCUGAAGAAGUUUGGAAAUGAACAAUAAGGGGCCUGGCUGGGCAAGGACAUUCGGUGCAAUGGCAAUCUUUGAUACAACGGUUGGUGACAGGUCUUCCAGACCCAACACUAACCUUCCUCCUUCGAUACUGUUUCCAAACGGUAGUCUACGCUAUCUGGCAUGAGAGAAACACCCGGAGAGUUGGAGAUCCUUCUCUACCUCGUGCUCGAUUGAUUAUCUAUAUCGAUAGGUUGGUCAGAAACAGAAUAUCCUCCUUGCGAAAGAGAGUGGAAAGUAAAUGUGAGAAGGCCAUGGAGAUAUGGUUUGGGAGUAGAUAAUGCUUAUUUUUUUUCUCAAAGUUUUUUUAGGUCUAUAUCUACACAAAAUAGCAUUAGGUUGUACAAAAAUUUUUGAAGUGAAUAAAUUUAAAAAAAUUUCACACAAAAAAAAAAAGAUGUGAAUAAACUUGGUUACGCAUAGA